rnacentral:rRNA from 1 species
AUUGAACGCUGGCGGCAGGCCUAACACAUGCAAGUCGAGCGAGCGGCGGACGGGUGAGUAAUGUAUGGGGAUCUGCCCGAUAGAGGGGUAUAACUACUGGAACCGGUGGAUAAUACCGCAAACUACCGGUUGAACCCUUAUGGGUUUAGCUAGUAGGGGGGGUAAAGGCUCACCAAGGCGACGAUCUCUAGCUGGUCUGAGAGGAUGAUCAGCCACACUGGGACUGAGACACGGCCCAGACUCCUACGGGAGGCAGCAGUGGGGAAUAUUGCACAAUGGGCGCAAGCCUGAUGCAGCCAUGCCGCGUGUAUGAAGAAGGCCUUAGGGUUGUAAAGUACUUUCAGCGGGGAGGCGUUACCCGCAGAAGAAGCACCGGCUAACUCCGUGCCAGCAGCCGCGGUAAUUC